rnacentral:rRNA from 1 species
AGAGUUUGAUCAUGGCUCAGAUUGAACGCUGGCGGCAGGCCUAACACAUGCAAGUCGAACGGUAGCACAGAGAGCUUGCUCUCGGGUGACGAGUGGCGGACGGGUGAGUAAUGUCUGGGAAACUGCCUGAUGGAGGGGGAUAACUACUGGAAACGGUGGCUAAUACCGCAUAACGUCGCAAGACCAAAGAGGGGGACCUUCGGGCCUCUUGCCAUCAGAUGUGCCCAGAUGGGAUUAGCUUGUUGGUGAGGUAACGGCUCACCAAGGCGACGAUCCCUAGCUGGUCUGAGAGGAUGACCAGCCACACUGGAACUGAGACACGGUCCAGACUCCUACGGGAGGCAGCAGUGGGGAAUAUUGCACAAUGGGCGCAAGCCUGAUGCAGCCAUGCCGCGUGUAUGAAGAAGGCCUUCGGGUUGUAAAGUACUUUCAGCGGGGAGGAAGGUGUUGUGGUUAAUAACCGCAGCAAUUGACGUUACCCGCAGAAGAAGCACCGGCUAACUCCGUGCCAGCAGCCGCGGUAAUACGGAGGGUGCAAGCGUUAAUCGGAAUUACUGGGCGUAAAGCGCACGCAGGCGGUCUGUCAAGUCGGAUGUGAAAUCCCCGGGCUCAACCUGGGAACUGCAUUCGAAACUGGCAGGCUUGAGUCUUGUAGAGGGGGGUAGAAUUCCAGGUGUAGCGGUGAAAUGCGUAGAGAUCUGGAGGAAUACCGGUGGCGAAGGCGGCCCCCUGGACAAAGACUGACGCUCAGGUGCGAAAGCGUGGGGAGCAAACAGGAUUAGAUACCCUGGUAGUCCACGCCGUAAACGAUGUCUACUUGGAGGUUGUGCCCUUGAGGCGUGGCUUCCGGAGCUAACGCGUUAAGUAGACCGCCUGGGGAGUACGGCCGCAAGGUUAAAACUCAAAUGAAUUGACGGGGGCCCGCACAAGCGGUGGAGCAUGUGGUUUAAUUCGAUGCAACGCGAAGAACCUUACCUGGUCUUGACAUCCACGGAAGAAUUCAGAGAUGGAUUUGUGCCUUCGGGAACCGUGAGACAGGUGCUGCAUGGCUGUCGUCAGCUCGUGUUGUGAAAUGUUGGGUUAAGUCCCGCAACGAGCGCAACCCUUAUCCUUUGUUGCCAGCGGUCCGGCCGGGAACUCAAAGGAGACUGCCAGUGAUAAACUGGAGGAAGGUGGGGAUGACGUCAAGUCAUCAUGGCCCUUACGACCAGGGCUACACACGUGCUACAAUGGCGCAUACAAAGAGAAGCGACCUCGCGAGAGCAAGCGGACCUCAUAAAGUGCGUCGUAGUCCGGAUUGGAGUCUGCAACUCGACUCCAUGAAGUCGGAAUCGCUAGUAAUCGUGGAUCAGAAUGCCACGGUGAAUACGUUCCCGGGCCUUGUACACACCGCCCGUCACACCAUGGGAGUGGGUUGCAAAAGAAGUAGGUAGCUUAACCUUCGGGAGGGCGCUUACCACUUUGUGAUUCAUGACUGGGGUGAAGUCGUAACAAGGUAACCGUAGGGGAACCUGCGGUUGGAUCACCU